CCUACGGGUGGCUGCAGUCGGGAAUAUUGCGCAAUGGAGGAAACUCUGACGCAGUGACGCCGCGUGCAGGAAGAAGGUUUUCGGAUUGUAAACUGCUUUAGACAGGGAAGAAAAAAGACAGUACCGGUAGAAUAAGCGCCGGCUAACUACGUGCCAGCAGCCGCGGUAAUACGGAGGGAGCAAGCGUUAUCCGGAUUUAUGUGGGGUAAAGGGGGCGUAGACGGAGAAGCAAGUUAGUUGUGAAAUCCCUCGGCUUAACUGAGGAACUGCAACUAAAACUACUGCCCUUGAGUACGGGAGAGUCCAGUGGACUUCCUAGUGUCGCGGUGACAUGCGUAGAUAUUAGGAGGAACACCAGUGGCGACUGCGACUUUCUGGACAGUAACUGACGUUGCGGCACG
rnacentral:rRNA from 1 species